AACAAAGAUAGAAACAUGAGAUAUUAAAGAAAACAACGUUGAGUGGAAUUCACUUCCUGCAAAUCUAUUCCCAGUCCACUAUAACUUGGAUCUUUUUAAAUCGAGAGUGAAUAGAUAUCUUUUAGGUAAGCAUGAUCCAUCCUAGACUGCAUCGGCACUUACCAUCAGGUGAGAUUGCGGUCAAAUGCUUGUCUUU